UCCUACGGGACGCAGCAGUGGGGAAUUUUGCGCAAUGGGGGAAACCCUGACGCAGCAACGCCGCGUGGAGGAUGAAAUCCCUUGGGAUGUAAACUCCUUUCGAUAGGGAAGAUAAUGACGGUACCUAUAGAAGAAGCCCCGGCUAACUUCGUGCCAGCAGCCGCGGUAAUACGAGGGGGGCAAGCGUUGUUCGGAUUUAUUGGGCGUAAAGGGUGCGUAGGCGGUUUGGCAAGUCUUGUGUGAAAUCUUCGGGCUCAACCCGAAGCCUGCAUAAGAAACUGCCGGGCUUGAGUAUGGGAGAGGUGAGUGGAAUUUCCGGUGUAGCGGUGAAAUGCGUAGAUAUCGGAAGGAACACCUGUGGCGAAAGCGGCUCACUGGACCAUAACUGACGCUGAGGCACGAAAGCUAGGGGAGCAAACAGGAUUAGAUACCCCGGUAGC
rnacentral:rRNA from 1 species